rnacentral:rRNA from 1 species
GACGAACGCUGGCGGCGUGCUUAACACAUGCAAGUCGAACGGAAAGGCCUGUCCUUUCUUGUGUUGGAGGGGUACUCGAGUGGGGAACGGACGAGUAACACGUGAGCGUUCUGCCCCCAACUUGGGUAUAAGCCUGGGAAACUGGGUCUAAUUCCCGAUUGGACCGCAGGGUGGUGCCGGUGGUGGCAAACGUUUUGCUAGUGGUUGGGGAUGAGCUCGCGGCGUAUCAGGUUGUUGGUGGGGUAAUGGCCUACGAAGGCGGGGACGGGAAGCCAGCCUGGGAGGGUCGACGGCGGCAGUGGGACUGGGAUACGGCCCAGACGCCUACGGGCAGCAGCAGUGGGGAAGCAUGCGCAGUGAGCGGGAGCCUGAUGCAGCGAGGCCGCGUGGGGGAUGACGGGCUUGGGGUUGUAACCUCCUUUCGACCGAGAGGAGGCCGCCUGGUUGGAAGGGUGGUGACGGUAGUGGUAGAAGAAGCACCGGCUAACUACGUG